AGAACCCCGUGCAGCCAGACUUAGCAACCAGGGCGCUGCUGUCCGAGGGACCCAGGAAGCCAGUGAAGGCACGGCUGGGCUCCUCUGUGAUGGGCACGAAGACUCAGAACGUGAUUAAACUUUGUUCACGGGGACAAUCGAAGCUGGAGCUCCUCAAUGGAUGGUUUCAUCUCUUCUACCCCCUGUACAGCCUUGAAACUUGGAACAGUACGUGACUGAAGUGACUUGCUUGGGUGAGAAGGAUGAGCGUCCAGGACCAUGAAGCCCAGCGAUGGGCAACGGCACCAGGUGGAGGACCCCUGGAGGCUCCAGGCAGUCUGGGUUUGUCUUGCAGGUGCAUCUGCCCGUCUGGCCCUGGGACAGCUAAUCCCGCUGAAAUACACAGGUCCCUCCUUGCAGGAUGUGGCCGGACAAUAAGUGCUACGUUCACCUAGAUCACGGGAUGAUGCAGUCUGGACAAUUUCCAGUUGUUGCUUUCAGAUGAAGAACACAGGGCACAGAAGGGAUAAGGAUGCACCCAAGAUCACAAAACCAGCUGGUGGCAGCAUAGGAACAUAAGCCUAGAACACAAGUUUGUGAUUCAACGUCCUAGCCUGCAAGUCCUCACCUUCCAGAGGAAGCAUCAGUGAUGAGGGGACAGCAGUUCUGAGGCUUCUCUGUGCCUGGGUCUGACUUGCUCAGACCUCCCCAGCCACAUCGGAAUGGGGUCGGGCCUACCCUGACCAGGGAGGGGACAGGGUAUUUUGCUGCUUGGCUUGGCAUGUUUACCACCUGGCAAACUUGGAUUGAACUGGUCCUUCAUGAAUAAAAGCAUUGCUUUUCCUUCUAAAUCAAUUCCAUAAAAAUCCACCUAUUUAAGGAGAUUGGAGACCCUGUUUUCAAUCACUUUCACCCUUUGGGAGAAAACCCCCUCAAAUACCUCCAGUGGGAGUAAUUACUAGUUUUAGGAGUCCUGAUUUCACGUUGGCUACUGUCAACUGCGAAUGUCACUACUAAUUCCUGCUCUUGUUAAUAGGUGGGCUUUCUACCAUGGUCAUUGCCCUAUUAACAAAGAAGGAAGAAGAUUCUUCCUGUUAUUUUACCUGGGGCUAAUCAGAAGGGGGAGAGCACAGCAGAGAAGCUGAUACCAAAUCUCUCUAACAAAACAUAUGUGGAACAUGUCAGGACACACAGGCCCUGAAGUCAUGGGCUGGGGCCCGAGGCAUGAUUGAUGGUCUGAGAGUGGAUGCAGGAAGUGGCCAGAAGCCAUCUGGGAAGCCAGGCAGUUGCAGGAAUCGGACUGGGUACAAAGCAGCGAGGUGGACUUGGCUAGAGACGGGGACUGGCCACUGUGCCAAGCGGAAGUCAUGCCCGGUCUAAGAGGGGUGCCGUCUGCGGGUCCAGCUGGCUGGGUCUCAAUGAGGCUGCACCCAGUGUGGCCACAGCAAUUCCAAGCGGAAUCAGAAAGCCGCAACUUCAUGUGAAGCGUGCUGAUUUUUACAUGUCAUCAAUAAUUUCCUCAUUCAGGUCUACAUCAGAAAAUGUAUUUCACUAGGUCGAUAAUCAGCAUAAAUUGAAUGUCUCUGGCUUAUUUGUCUUCCAGAUGUUUUGUCAGAUUUGCUCAACACAAGCACGCACGUGUCUGGCUGCCUCCUGUGCAACGACUAGCAAGCACGCACCUGCACCGAGCAUGGACUCGAGGCCUUUCACAGAGACGCUCACAGCCUUCUCACCAGGUUUUGUCUGGUGAGAUGCGAUGAGACGCACGGAGGAGAUAUCCGACAGACCCUGGGCGUCCCCGAGCUCGACUCCGAGCUCCAGGUUCCUGCUGCCGGCUAUCUGACGCCUUCACUGGAGGCUUAAAGAGCAUCCCCGAUUCGACGUGACCCAUACGAGUCUUUUCAUUCUGAUCAGCAUCUCCCUCUACAAAUAAAGCCCACAGCCUGCAUCUAUCUUCCCAGUUUUGGCAAACGGCACCAAUGUUUAUCUAACUGCUUAUACCAAGCAUUUCGGAGUUAUCCCUGAUUCCCUCGUAUCUGUCACCAGCAAUUCGUCCUGUUUAAAAACACAGUAGGGACAAAGGUGUCUGUGGGAAAUGUAAUCCAUGGUCAAUGGUAUCUGACUUCCGCCCUAGUAGGUCUUGGAGGAUACUGGUGACGCGGGACAUGGCUCUUUGUGAAUAACAAAAGGACUAAUUUUAUAUACAAAGGCGGGGGAGGAAGUUAGAGCCAACUGUGGUCGGGUAGGGAGGGGGAGACCCCACAGCCCUUCCUUCUCAUCUUCUGCAUUAGCCAUCCUCAAAUGACAACGUCAGGGCCACCAUCAGGGUCCCCGGCAUUUUUCUCCUCUGGUUCCUAGACUCUGAGUCUCCUUGCCUUACUUUUGGCUGAAUUGUUACAACGUAAAAUGCAAAUACCGGGGUGUCCUGCACCGUCGUGAACAUGCACCUCUUUAUUCAACCACCUUGGCCGUUCAUCCUCUCAACAGUCAGGCAUGGGGCAGCUACAGUGCUGGGCACUCCUGCCACGGGGGUGAAAUCAGCUGUGACCUCCAAGACCAGACUGAAUGGGCAUCUGCGGCCGAGUGGGGAGUGGGAGGGGGCUCUGGUGGAGGGGUGCUGAAGGAGCAGUGGGAGCUGAGGGCAAUGAGAGUCUUUCCUGGUCAGCCCACGGGUUGUGAAGCACACAACCCAUUUCCCGGGGUGGGUUUCUUCUCACUGGUUGUUCGGAAGAAGGUUUGACCUCCAGGUGGUGUAUUUCGGUGGCUGCAAAACCCAAGCUACUUCCUUAUAAGGUGCCUCUUUAUUCUCAGGUUAAUAGGAAACAUUCUGUUGGAUGAAUCCAGCCAAAGAGAAUGCUACCUCCAGUGUGCAUAAAAGCAUAUUACUUGGUAUCUGUGUCCGCAAUGAGGCAUGACAUGGAUAUUUAGGUUCAAAGAGGGAGAAUUAUGUCACAUCGAGAAUGGGUUGUCAA